rnacentral:rRNA from 1 species
GUGUCAGCCGCCGCGGUAAUACGUAGGGUGCGAGCGUUAUCCGGAUUCACUGGGUUUAAAGGGUGCGUAGGUGGGCUAGUAAGUCCGUGGUGAAAUCUCCAAGCUUAACUUGGAAACUGCCGUGGAUACUAUUAGUCUUGAAUAUUGUGGAGGUAAGCGGAAUAUGUCAUGUAGCGGUGAAAUGCUUAGAUAUGACAUAGAACACCGAUAGCGAAGGCAGCUUGCUACACAAUCAUUGACACUGAGGCACGAAAGCGUGGGGAUCAAACAGGAUUAGGUACCCUGGUAGUCCACGCCCUAAACGAUGGAUACUCGACAUACGCGAUACACAGUGUGUGUCUGAGCGAAAGCAUUAAGUAUCCCACCUGGGAAGUACGAUCGCAAGAUUGAA